GACGGUGGCCCGGAGGAGUCAAAAGUGAGCGAGCCUUGAGCCCCGCGUGACUUUUCUCCUUUCUAGUCUGGGUCCUGCCCCUUUUCUCUUCCAACCACUGCGAGUCCGGCAGUUCAAUGACUAAAAACUUAGCGACCAGUGGCGCACGACAGCAGCCAUGCCGCUCGCUCCCGGGAGCCGAGAGGCGGAGUCUGAGGACACGGGCCAAUUGAGCCGGAGCCCCAGCCGCGGAGCCCGGAUGGAGGAGGCUGGGUGGAGGCGUGGGAGCCGGCAAACGUGAAGAGCUCUCGGGCUUCUGCUGUGCCGCAGCGGGGAUCUGGAUCUGGAAGACUACUCUCCUGCAGCUGAAACAUGGGCGGCAAAAAUAAGAAACACAAGGCGCCGGGAGCUGCGGCGAUGCGGGCCGCCGUGUCUGCUUCCAGAGCCAGAAGUGCAGAGGCCGGAGCUGUUGGGGAAGCCCAGAGCAAGAAGCCGGUGGCCAGGCCGGCGCCCGCCGUCCCCACCGGCGCCCGGGAGCCCCGAGUGAAGCAAGGUCCAAAAAUUUAUAGUUUUAAUUCUGCAAAUGAUUCCGGUGGCUCUGCAAAUCUGGACAAAUCUAUUUUGAAAGUGGUGAUUAACAAUAAACUAGAGCAAAGGAUUAUCGGAGUGAUCAAUGAGCAUAAAAAGCAGAACAGCGACAGGGGAGCGAUCUCUGGAAGACUGUCGGCUAAGAAGCUACAGGAUUUAUACAUGGCUUUACAAGCGUUUUCCUUUAAGACUAAGGAUAUUGAAGAUGCCAUGACCAAUACACUCUUGCAUGGAGGUGACCUUCAUUCUGCCUUGGACUGGCUCUGCUUAAAUCUUUCCGAUGAUGCACUUCCUGAAGGAUUCAGUCAAGAAUUUGAAGAGCAGCAACCUAAAAGCAGGCCAAAAUUCCAGUCUGUACAAAUACAGGCUACUCUUUCACCUCCACAGCAGACGAAAACCAAAAGGCAGGAGGAAGACCCUAAAAUUAAGCCAAAAAAGGAAGAGACAACCGUGGAGGUGAAUAUGAAGGAGUGGAUUUUGAGAUAUGCUGAGCAACAGGACGAAGAGGAGAAGGGCGAGGGCUCUAAAGGCUUAGAGGAAGAAGAAAAGUUUGACCCCAACCAAAGGUACUUGAACCUUGCAGCCAGACUUCUGGACGCAAAGGAGCAAGCCGCCGCCUUCAAACUAGAAAAAAACAAGCAAGGCCAAAAAGAGGCUCAAGAGAAAAUAAGAAAGUUCCAAAGAGAAAUGGAAACUUUAGAAGACCAUCCAAUAUUCAACCCAGCCAUAAAGAUUUCACAUCAACAAAAUGAGAAGAAAAAGCCUGCUCCAGCCACAGAAGCUGAGAGUGCUUUAAACCUGAAUUUAUUUGAAAAAUCUGCAGCUGCUACCGAGGAAGAGAAAGGUAAAAAGAAAGAACCUCACGAUGUAAGGAACUUUGACUACACUGCUCGAAGCUGGACUGGCAAAUCUCCCAAACAAUUCCUCAUCGACUGGGUCAGGAAGAAUCUUCCCAAGAGUCCAAACCCCUCCUUUGAGAAAGUUGCCGUAGGCAGAUACUGGAAAUGUAGGGUAAGGGUCGUCAGGUCUGAAGAUGACGUGCUGGUUGUGUGUCCUACAAUCUUAACCGAGGACGGCAUGCAAGCCCAGCACCUGGGAGCCACAUUAGCCCUUUAUCGGCUAGUGAAGGGGCAGUCUGUCCAUCAGUUACUCCCUCCUACGUACCGGGAUGUUUGGCUGGAGUGGAGUGAUGAAGAGAAGAAAAGGGAAGAACUCAAUAAAAUGGAAACCAACAAACCACGGGAUCUUUUUAUUGCCAAGCUCUUGAAUAAGUUGAAGCAGCAGCAGCAACAACAGCAGCAGCAGCGUCCUGAAAGCGAGAAAGGGGGCUCCGAGGAUCCCGAGGAAUCCUGGGAAAACUUAGUUUCCGACGAAGAUCUUGCUGCGCUGUCCUUGGAGCCAACCAGUGCAGAAGACCUGGCACCUGUUAGGAGCCUCUUCAGGAGGCUACAGAGCACACCCAAGUAUCAGAGGCUCCUGAAGGAGAGACAGCAGCUACCUGUGUUCAAACACCGGGACUCAAUUGUGGAAACUCUGAAGAGGCACCGGGUGGUGGUGGUAGCAGGUGAAACGGGGAGUGGCAAGAGCACCCAGGUGCCACACUUCCUGUUGGAAGAUCUGCUGCUCGAUGAGUGUGGAGCCAGGAAGUGUAACAUAGUCUGCACCCAGCCCCGAAGAAUCUCGGCGGUGAGCUUAGCCACCAGGGUGUGCGAGGAGCUGGGCUGUGAGAGUGGCCCUGGAGGAAGGAAUUCUUUGUGUGGCUAUCAGAUCCGGAUGGAAUCUCGAGCUAGUGAAUCUACCAGGCUACUGUAUUGUACAACCGGAGUUUUGCUAAGGAAACUUCAGGAAGAUGGUCUUCUGGCUGAUGUGUCUCAUGUCAUUGUCGAUGAGGUCCAUGAGAGAAGUGUCCAGUCAGAUUUCCUGCUCGUUAUCCUGAAGGAGAUUCUGCAGAAGCGUUCUGACCUACACUUGAUUCUGAUGAGCGCCACCGUGGACAGUGACAAGUUCUCUACGUACUUCACACACUGUCCUAUUCUCAGAAUUUCAGGAAGAAGUUACCCUGUUGAGGUUUUUCAUCUUGAAGACAUAGUAGAAGAAACAGGCUUCGUCCUGGAGAAAGACUCUGAGUAUUGUCAGAAGUUUCUGGAAGAGGAGGAAGAAAUUACCAUUAAUGUUACAAGUAAAGCUGGGGGAGUCAAAAAGUAUCAGGAAUACAUCCCAGUUCAGAGUGGAGCAAGUCCUGAAUUAAACCCGUUCUACCAAAAGUACAGUAGCCGUACGCAGCAUGCAAUUCUCUACAUGAACCCCCAUAAAAUCAACCUGGACCUCAUUUUGGAGCUUCUUGUAUACUUAGACAAAAGUCCUCAGUUCAGAAAUAUUGAAGGAGCAGUAUUGAUCUUCUUACCUGGCCUUGCUCACAUUCAACAGUUGUAUGACCUCCUGUCAAGUGACAGAAGGUUUUAUUCUGAGCGGUAUCAAGUUAUAGCUCUGCAUUCAGUUCUCUCAACUCAAGAUCAAGCGGCCGCCUUCAUGUUCCCCCCUCCCGGGGUCAGGAAGAUUGUCUUAGCAACAAACAUUGCAGAGACAGGGAUAACUAUUCCUGAUGUUGUGUUUGUCAUUGACACUGGACGGACAAAAGAAAAUAAGUACCAUGAAAGCAGCCAGAUGAGCUCUUUGGUGGAGACCUUUGUCAGUAAAGCUAGUGCCCUACAGCGCCAGGGGAGAGCCGGGAGGGUCCGGGAUGGCUUCUGCUUUCGGCUGUACACAAGAGAAAGAUUUGAAGGUUUUCUGGACUAUUCUGUACCUGAGAUCCUGCGCGUCCCUCUGGAGGAACUCUGUCUUCACAUCAUGAAGUGUGAUCUGGGCUCCCCUGAAGACUUCCUCUCCAAAGCCUUAGACCCUCCUCAGCUUCAAGUCAUCAGCAACGCGAUGAACUUACUCCGGAAAAUUGGAGCCUGCGAACCCAAUGAGCCUAAACUGACACCGCUGGGCCAGCACCUUGCCGCUUUGCCUGUCAAUGUCAAAAUUGGCAAGAUGCUCAUUUUCGGAGCCAUAUUUGGCUGUCUCGAACCAGUGGCAACACUGGCAGCCGUGAUGACAGAGAAGUCUCCAUUCAUCACACCAAUUGGUCGAAAGGAUGAAGCGGACCUUGCAAAGUCGUCUUUGGCUGUGGCCGACUCGGACCACCUCACGAUCUACAAUGCUUAUCUAGGGUGGAAGAAAGCCCAGCAAGAAGGAGGCUUCCGCUCUGAGAUCUCAUAUUGCCAGAGGAACUUCCUAAACAGAACGUCACUGUUGACACUCGAGGAUGUGAAGCAGGAGUUAAUGAAAUUGGUGAAAGCUGCAGGAUUUUCAUCGUCUCCCAGCUGGGAGGGAAGGAAAGGGCCGCAGACGCUCUCUUUCCAGGACAUUGCUCUUCUUAAAGCUGUGCUGGCUGCUGGCCUGUACGACAGUGUGGGGAAGAUCAUGUGUACAAAGUCCGUGGACGUGACAGAGAAGCUGGCGUGCAUGGUGGAGACAGCCCAAGGCAAAGCUCAGGUGCACCCGUCCUCUGUAAACCGGGACCUACAAACCUACGGGUGGCUCUUGUACCAGGAGAAGGUGAGGUACACCAGAGUCUACCUGAGAGAGACGACCCUCAUCACCCCUUUUCCAGUUUUGCUUUUUGGAGGUGACAUAGAAGUCCAGCACCGAGAGCGGCUUCUGUCUGUGGACGGCUGGAUCUAUUUUCAGGUAUCCAGUCCAGAUGACCUGAUGAGAGCAUUCAAACUCCUGUAUCCCUGAGGCCCCGGUAAAGAUAGCUGUCAUUUUUAAGCAGCUAAGAGUUCUCAUUGAUUCUGUUUUAAGAAAAAAACUUGAAAAUCCAAAGAUGUCCCUUGAAAAUGACAAGAUUCUACAGAUCAUUACAGAAUUGAUAAAAACAGAGAAUAAUUGACACUGGAAUCCACGGUUGUCUGCUUGUAAAGUUAAGAUAAAGAUACGGUCCUGAAAUGAUGUGGAGGUCAGCUGUCCCACUAAGUAUUUCAUUACCUAAAAUGUUGGUUCUGGCCAUUAACCUGAAGACGGCGGGGAGGGAAAGAGCACAUUCUUUCAACGUGGACUUUUCUAGCUCCUUUGUAACGAUGAUGAUACUCAAUGUAUUUGCCAUGACAUUUACAAUAAAUCCUUUGGUAUCAAUCAUA